AGUGAACGCUGGCGGUAGGCCUAACACAUGCAAGUCGAACGGCAGCACAGUAAGAGCUUGCUCUUAUGGGUGGCGAGUGGCGGACGGGUGAGGAAUACAUCGGAAUCUACCUUUUCGUGGGGGAUAACGUAGGGAAACUUACGCUAAUACCGCAUACGACCUUCGGGUGAAAGCAGGGGACCUUCGGGCCUUGCGCGGAUAGAUGAGCCGAUGUCGGAUUAGCUAGUUGGCGGGGUAAAGGCCCACCAAGGCGACGAUCCGUAGCUGGUCUGAGAGGAUGAUCAGCCACACUGGAACUGAGACACGGUCCAGACUCCUACGGGAGGCAGCAGUGGGGAAUAUUGGACAAUGGGCGCAAGCCUGAUCCAGCCAUACCGCGUGGGUGAAGAAGGCCUUCGGGUUGUAAAGCCCUUUUGUUGGGAAAGAAAAGCAGUCGGUUAAUACCCGGUUGUUCUGACGGUACCCAAAGAAUAAGCACCGGCUAACUUCGUGCCAGCCGCCGCCGUAACAC
rnacentral:rRNA from 1 species